GUGUAGGCCGCAGUGAAGCCUGAACUGGAGUUGGCUUAAAGGGAGGCCCCAAGCAAGGAAAGAAGGAGGCAGGCAGGCAGGCAGAGUGGCCCCCACAGCUCUCUGCAGCAGACCCUCUGCCCAGCCCAGCAUUUGCCAGGUAUGUUGCCAGAAGAGCAAACUCUGCCACACGUCAGGCUGAAAGAAGCCCAUUUAGCUCUGAGAUGAAAGGAUAAGAGGCCUAUACGAUGCUGAUGUGUGGAGAGACCCCACGGAUAAAGUGGAUCAAGAUGAGAUGGAGGGGUGGCUUUGCCGAGUCUUUGCUGACAUGAUAGCACUCUGGGCAGACUUGUUUCCUGUGCCCUGGAAUCAACUUCCAUUCAUUCAUUUCUAUUUUUUCUUUAAUUUUAAAAAUUCUUCCUUCCUGAAAAGCUCAACUCAUUUUUUAAAAAUUAAAAUUAAUUUGUCAUGGA